AGCAGAGCACUCCUCGGGAGGCAGCAGUGGGGAAUAUUGCACAAUGGGCGCAAGCCUGAUGCAGCCAUGCCGCGUGUAUGAAGAAGGCCUUCGGGUUGUAAAGUACUUUCAGCAGUGAGGAAGGUGGGUAUGUUAAUAGCAUACUCAUUUGACGUUAGCUGCAGAAGAAGCACCGGCUAACUCCGUGCCAGCAGCCGCGGUAAUACGGAGGGUGCGAGCGUUAAUCGGAAUUACUGGGCGUAAAGCGCAUGCAGGUGGUUUGUUAAGUCAGAUGUGAAAGCCCGGGGCUCAACCUCGGAAUUGCAUUUGAAACUGGCAAACUAGAGUACUGUAGAGGGGGUGGAAUUUCAGGUGUAGCGGUGAAAUGCGUAGAGAUCUGAAGGAAUACCGGUGGCGAAGGCGGCCCCCUGGACAGAUACUGACACUCAGAUGCGAAAGCGUGGGGAGCAAACAGGAUUAGAUACCCUGGUAG
rnacentral:rRNA from 1 species